rnacentral:rRNA from 1 species
UACGUAGGGUGCAAGCGUUGUCCGGAUUUAUUGGGCGUAAAGAGCUCGUAGGCUGUUCGGUAAGUCGGGUGUGAAACCCCAGGCUCAACCUGGGGACGCCACCUGAUACUGCUGUGACUCGAGUCCGGUAGGGGAGCGUGGAAUUCCUGGUGUAGCGGUGAAAUGCGCAGAUAUCAGGAGGAACACCAGCGGCGAAGGCGGCGCUCUGGGCCGGUACUGACGCUGAGGAGCGAAAGCGUGGGUAGCAAACAGG